UUAAUUGAAACCAAAAAGAGGUAAAUUAUUGUUAAUAAUUAAAAUAAAUUUAAUAAAUUUCUAUUAAA
rnacentral:tRNA from 1 species